GAUGAACGCUGGCGGCGUGCCUAAUACAUGCAAGUCGAGCGAACAGACGAGGAGCUUGCUCCUCUGACGUUAGCGGCGGACGGGUGAGUAACACGUGGAUAACCUACCUAUAAGACUGGGAUAACUUCGGGAAACCGGAGCUAAUACCGGAUAAUAUAUUGAACCGCAUGGUUCAAUAGUGAAAGACGGUUUUGCUGUCACUUAUAGAUGGAUCCGCGCCGCAUUAGCUAGUUGGUAAGGUACCGGCUUUCCAAGGCAACUAGGCGUAGACGACCUGAGAGAGUGGUCGGCCACAUGAGAACUGAGACACGGUCCAGAGUCCUGCGAGAGGCAGCAGUAGGGAAUCGUACGCAAUGGGCGAAAGCCUGACGGAGCAACGCCGCGUGAGAGAUGAAGGUCUUCGGAUCGGAAAGCUCUGUUAUGAGGGAAGAACAAAUGUGUAAGUAACUAUGCACGUCUUGACGGUACCUAAUCAGAAAGCCACGGCUAACUACGUG
rnacentral:rRNA from 1 species